rnacentral:rRNA from 1 species
GAUGAACGCUCGCGGCAGGCUUAAUACAUGCAAGUCGUGCGGCAACAGGUCUGUUGCAUUACAGUUGCUGGCGACCGGCAAACGGGUGCGGAACACGUACGCAACUUACCCUGAACCGGGGUAUAGCCCGGGGAAAGCCGGAUUAAUACCCUGUAAUAUAAUGGAGUGGCGUCACUUUAUUAUUAAAGCUCCGGCGUCUCGGGAUUGGCGUUGGGCUGGUUAGGUAGUUGGUUGUGGUAACGGUUCACCAAUCCUACGAUCAGGAACUGGUGCGAGGGGACGGCCAGGCACACGUGCACCGGGACACGGGCCCGGAUCCUACGGGAGGGAGCAGUAAGGAAAAAUGGGAAAAGGAGGCAACUCUGACCCAGCCAUGCCGCGGUGAGGAAUGAGGGCCUUUGGGUUGUAAACUUCUUUUGUAGGGGACGAAGCCUGUGUAUUCUUACGGAGGUGACGGUACCCGAGGAAGAAGCACCGGCUAACUACGUG